GGCUCAGGACGAACGCUGGCGGCGUGCCUAAUACAUGCAAGUAGAACGCUGAAGAAAGGAGCUUGCUUCUUUUGGAUGAGUUGCGAACGGGUGAGUAACGCGUAGGUAACCUGCCUUGUAGCGGGGGAUAACUAUUGGAAACGAUAGCUAAUACCGCAUAACAGCUUUUGACACAUGUUAGAAGCUUGAAAGAUGCAAUUGCAUCACUACGAGAUGGACCUGCGUUGUAUUAGCUAGUAGGUAGGGUAACGGCCUACCUAGGCGACGAUACAUAGCCGACCUGAGAGGGUGAUCGGCCACACUGGGACUGAGACACGGCCCAGACUCCUACGGGAGGCAGCAGUAGGGAAUCUUCGGCAAUGGGGGCAACCCUGACCGAGCAACGCCGCGUGAGUGAAGAAGGUUUUCGGAUCGUAAAGCUCUGUUGUAAGAGAAGAACGUGUGUGAGAGUGGAAAGUUCACACAGUGACGGUAACUUACCAGAAAGGGACGGCUAACUACGUGCCAGCAGCCGCGGUAANACGUAGGUCCCGAGCGUUGUCCGGAUUUAUUGGGCGUAAAGCGAGCGCAGGCGGUUUAAUAAGUCUGAAGUUAAAGGCAGUGGCUUAACCAUUGUUCGCUUUGGAAACUGUUAAACUUGAGUGCAGAAGGGGAGAGUGGAAUUCCAUGUGUAGCGGUGAAAUGCGUAGAUAUAUGGAGGAACACCGGUGGCGAAAGCGGCUCUCUGGUCUGUAACUGACGCUGAGGCUC
rnacentral:rRNA from 1 species